rnacentral:rRNA from 1 species
UCGGGAAUUUUGGGCAAUGGGGGAAACCCUGACCCAGCAACGCCGCGUGAAGGAUGAAGUAUUUCGGUAUGUAAACUUCGAAAGAAUAGGAAGAAUAAAUGACGGUACUAUUUAUAAGGUCCGGCUAACUACGUGCCAGCAGCCGCGGUAAUACGUAGGGACCAAGCGUUGUUCGGAUUUACUGGGCGUAAAGGGCGCGUAGGCGGCAUGACAAGUCACUUGUGAAAUCUCUGGGCUUAACCCAGAACGGCCAAGUGAUACUGUCGCGCUAGAGUGCAGAAGGGGCAAUCGGAAUUCUUGGUGUAGCGGUGAAAUGCGUAGAUAUCGGGAGGAACAUCAGUGGCGAAGGCGGCCCUCUGGUCCAGUACUGACACUCAAGUGCGAAAGCGUGGGGAGCAAACAGGAUUAGAUACCCCUUUAGUCCCUGAGCGGGCUGGCAAGGCGCAU